rnacentral:lncRNA from 1 species
UCCGUCCCGUCGUGGGACUUUUUGCCCUCCAGUUCCCGGGUCCCUCAGGUGGCCACCCCAGUGGGCACACGCCCAGGCGCCGCUCCUGCCCCGCGCUCCCUCCCUCUGCCUUUCACUUCCCAGCUGCCAAGAUCUUGGAAGCUUUGAAGCUCAGCAAAGAAGGAAAAUCCAUUGAGAACAGUCUGUAAAGCAUAUUAAAAUUGGAUCCCAAGAUCCUUUGUGGAAGAGCCUUGGCACCCUGACUCACCUUAUAUUGAGCCAACAUGACAGAAAAAUACAUCAUUUUUCUCUACCGUGAAAGGAAACAAGUGUGAAAAUAAUGGGAAAGAUGUGCAGUUUAAAACAAAG